rnacentral:rRNA from 1 species
CAAGUCGAGCGGAGACAGUGAGUAGCUUGCUAUGAGCUGUUUUAGCGGCGGACGGGUGAGUAACGCGUGAGCAACCUUUCCCAGACAGGGGAAUAACACACCGAAAGGUGUACUAAUACCGCAUAAGACCACGGGAUCACAUGGUUCUGAGGUAAAAGAUUUAUCGGUUUGGGGUGGGCUCGCGUCCGAUUAGGUAGUUGGUGAGGUAACGGCCCACCAAGCCGACGAUCGGUAGCCGACCUGAGAGGGUGAUCGGCCACAUUGGGACUGAGACACGGCCCAGACUCCUACGGGAGGCAGCAGUGGGGAAUAUUGGGCAAUGGAGGAAACUCUGACCCAGCAACGCCGCGUGGAGGAAGAAGGUUUUCGGAUCGUAAACUCCUGUCCUUGGAGACGAGUAGAAGACGGUAUCCAAGGAGGAAGCCCCGGCUAACUACGUGCCAGCAGCCGCGGUAAUACGUAGGGGGCAAGCGUUGUCCGGAAUAAUUGGGCGUAAAGGGCGCGUAGGCGGCUCGGUAAGUCUGGAGUGAAAGUCCUGCUUUUAAGGUGGGAAUUGCUUUGGAUACUGUCGGGCUUGAGUGCAGGAGAGGUUAGUGGAAUUCCCAGUGUAGCGGUGAAAUGCGUAGAGAUUGGGAGGAACACCAGUGGCGAAGGCGACUAACUGGACUGUAACUGACGCUGAGGCGCGAAAGUGUGGGGAGCAAACAGGAUUAGAUACCCUGGUAGUCCACACUGUAAACGAUGAAUGCUAGGUGUAGGGGGUAUCGACCCCUUCUGUGCCGCAGUCAACACAAUAAGCAUUCCGCCUGGGGAGUACGGCCGCAAGG